rnacentral:rRNA from 1 species
GUAGGAGGCAAGCGUUAUCCGGAUUCACUGGGCGUAAAGCGCGUGCAGGCGGUUCGGUAAGUUGGGCGUGAAAUCUCCUGGCUUAACUGGGAGAGGCCGUCCAAUACUACCGGACUAGAGAGCAGUAGAGGAAGAUGGAAUUCCCGGUGUAGUGGUGAAAUGCGUGGAUAUCGGGAGGAACACCAGAGGCGAAGGCGAUCUUCUGGACUGUUUCUGACGCUCAGACGCGAAAGCUAGGGUAGUAAACGGGAUUAGAGACCCCGGUAAUCCUAGCCGUAAACGAUGUGAACUUGGCGUCGGUGGCUUAAACUCCAUCGGUGCCGAAGCAAACGCGAUAAGUUCACCGCCUGGGGACUACGAUUGCAAGAUUA